AGGACAAACGCUGGCGGCGUGCGUAACACAUGCAAGUCGAACGCUCUGGUCUCUUUCGGGAGGGCAGGGAGUGGCGGACGGGUGAGGAACACAUGGGUAUCUACCUCCGGGUGGGGGAUACCGGCGAGAAAUCGCCGACAAGACCGCAUAGCCCUCUCUGGUGAGAGCCAGAGAAGGAAAGCUUCGCAAGAGGCGCUGGAGGAGGGGCCUGCGUCCGAUUAGCUAGUUGGUGGGUAAGAGCCUACCAAGGCGUCGAUCGGUAGCUGGUCUGAGAGGACGAUCAGCCACACUGGGAUUGAGAACGGCCCAGACUCCUACGGGGGGCAGCAGUGAGGAAUUUUCGGCAAUGGGGGAAACCCUGACCGAGCAACGCCGCGUGCAGGAAGACGGCCUUCGGGUUGUAAACUGCUUUUCUUUGGGACGAGCAAGGACGGUACCAGAGGAAUCAGCCCCGGCUCACUACGUGCCAGCAGCCGC
rnacentral:rRNA from 1 species